ACCAAGGUGACUGAGUGUUUUAUAGGUUACCUUGGCGAUUUGAAAGCUUUGGUAGGUUACCAUAGUGAUUUAGAAUCUUUUAUGGGUUACCAAGGUGACUGAGUGUUUUAUAGGUUACCUUGGCGAUUUGAAAGCUUUGGUAGGUUACCAUAGUGAUUUAGAAUCUUUUAUGGGUUACCAAGGUGACUGAGUGUUUUAUAGGUUACCUUGGCGAUUUGAAAGCUUUGGUAGGUUACCAUAGUGAUUUAGAAUCUUUUAUGGGUUACCAAGGUGACUGAGUGUUUUAUAGGUUACCUUGGCGAUUUGAAAGCUUUGGUAGGUUACCAUAGUGAUUUAGAAUCUUUGAUGGGUUACCAAGGUGACUGAGUGUUUUAUAGGUUACCUUGGCGAUUUGAAAGCUUUGGUAGGUUACCAUAGUGAUUUAGAAUCUUUGAUGGGUUACCAAGGUGACUGAGUGUUUUAUAGGUUACCUUGGCGAUUUGAAAGCUUUGGUAGGUUACCAUAGUGAUUUAGAAUCUUUGAUGGGUUACCAAGGUGACUGAGUGUUUUACAGGUUACCUUGGCGAUUUGAAAGCUUUGGUAGGUUACCAUAGUGAUUUAGAAUCUUUGAUGGGUUACCAAGGUAAUUAAGUGUUUUAUAGGUUACUAUAUAGAUCAAGAAUCUUUCAUGGGCUACCAAAGUGAUUGAGAGUUUUUGAAGGGUUACCAAGGUGAUCAAGAGGUUUUUUUAUAUGGGUUAGCAUAGUGAUAUGAAUCUUUGACAGGUUACCAAAUAAUUGUUUUUUGUAGGUUACUAAAGUGAUCAAGAAUGUUUAUUGGGUUUCCAUGGUAAGUGAUUGUUCUGAAGGUUACAAAGGUAAUUGAGAUAAUUUUUAUGGGUUACCAUGGAGCUUGAGAAGCGUUGAUAGGUUGCCAUGGUGAUUUAAAAUCAUUGAUGGGUUACCAUGGUAAUUACUUGUAUUAUAGGUUACUAAGGCAAUCAAGGAUCUAUGAUGGGUUACCUAGAUAAUUCACUGUUUUAUAAGUUACUAAGGUGAUCGAGACUUUUCAUAGGUUACUAUGGUGAGAAUCUUUGAUGGGUUACCAUGGUAAUCAAGUGGUUUGUGGGUUAUUAAGGUGAUCGAGAUUAAUUUAUGGGUUACCAAGGUGACCGAGAAUGUUGGAUAGGUUACCAAGGUACUCAAGAAAGAUACUUUAUGGGUUUCUAAAGUGAUUGAGAGUCUUUAAUAAGUUAAAAAAGUAAUCAAGUG